rnacentral:rRNA from 1 species
UACAGAGGUCCCAAGCGUUGUUCGGAUCCAUUGGGCGUAAAGGGUGCGUAGGCGGCGCGGUAAGUCGGGUGUGAAAUCUCGGGGCUUAACUCCGAAACUGCAUUCGAUACUGCCGUGCUUGAGGACUGGAGAGGAGACUGGAAUUUACGGUGUAGCGGUGAAAUGCGUAGAUAUCGUAAGGAAGACCAGUGGCGAAGGCGGGUCUCUGGACAGUUCCUGACGCUGAGGCACGAAGGCCAGGGGAGCAAACGGG